GUGGAUGCUAUUAAAAGGGAGUUUCCAUGGAUACAGACAUCAGUGGGAAUGAAACAGGAUUGUCCUCUUUUCAGACUCAUUGUUCCAAAUAUUCCUAAAGCUUAGAUCAUGUCAUCUUUUUAUUCACCUUUCCCAUGGCUACCUACUUAUUUACGAAGUACUGAGGAUGGUAAUUAAUGCCUUUCAUAAAAGAGCUGAGACAACUUGUGAGCUUGAAAGCAAGAUCCUGACAUUGGCUGGAAACUACUUUUUUUGCUUUGUGG
rnacentral:lncRNA from 1 species